rnacentral:rRNA from 1 species
UUCCGUAGGGGUAACCUGCGGAGGGAUCAUUACACAAAUAUGAAGGCGGGCUGGAAUCUCUCGGGGUUACAGCCUUGCUGAAUUAUUCACCCUUGUCUUUUGCGUACUUCUUGUUUCCUUGGUGGGUUCGCCCACCACUAGGACAAACAUAAACCUUUUGUAAUUGCAAUCAGCGUCAGUAACAAAUUAAUAAUUACAACUUUCAACAACGGAUCUCUUGGUUCUGGCAUCGAUGAAGAACGCAGCGAAAUGCGAUAAGUAGUGUGAAUUGCAGAAUUCAGUGAAUCAUCGAAUCUUUGAACGCACAUUGCGCCCUUUGGUAUUCCAAAGGGCAUGCCUGUUCGAGCGUCAUUUGUACCCUCAAGCUUUGCUUGGUGUUGGGCGUCUUGUCUCUAGCUUUGCUGGAGACUCGCCUUAAAGUAAUUGGCAGCCGGCCUACUGGUUUCGGAGCGCAGCACAAGUCGCACUCUCUAUCAGCAAAGGUCUAGCAUCCAUUAAGCCUUUUUUCAACUUUUGACCUCGGAUCAGGUAGGGAUACCCGCUGAACUUAAGCAUAUCAAUAAGCCGGAGGA